UACGUAGGGUCCAAGCGUUAAUCGGAAUUACUGGGCGUAAAGCGUGCGCAGGCGGUUGUGUAAGACAGAUGUGAAAUCCCCGGGCUUAACCUGGGAACUGCAUUUGUGACUGCACGGCUAGAGGGUGUCAGAGGGGGGUAGAAUUCCACGUGUAGCAGUGAAAUGCGUAGAGAUGUGGAGGAAUACCGAUGGCGAAGGCAGCCCCCUGGGCCAAUACUGACGCUCAUGCACGAAAGCGUGGGGAGCAAACAGG
rnacentral:rRNA from 1 species